rnacentral:RNase_P_RNA from 1 species
CGAGCUGGCAGGGCGAUCGCGGGGCGUGAGCCUCGAGGAAAGUCCGGACUCCGCAGGGCAGGGUGGUUGCUAACGGCAACCCGGGGUGACCCGCGGGACAGUGCCACAGAAAACAGACCGCUCCCGCGCGAGCGGGGGUAAGGGUGAAACGGUGGUGUAAGAGACCACCAGCGCCCCGGGUGACCGGGGCGGCUUGGUAAACCCCACCCGGAGCAAGGUCAAGAGGGAGCGCGAGCUCCUGCGCAGGCGUUCGAGGGCGGCCCGCCCGAUGCCUGCGGGUAGACCGCUAGAGCCCGCCGGCGACGGCGGGCCCAGAUGGAUGGUCGCCCACCGCGCGGCCGCGAGGCGGCGUGGGGACAGGAUCCGGCUUACAUGCCAGCUCGUCCA